rnacentral:misc_RNA from 1 species
GCGGGAGCGAGUGAUGACGAGCUGCAGACGGAUUUGGACUAUGCCUGCUCGCAGCCGGGGGUGGAUUGUUCAGCGAUUCAGGUGGGUGGGGCGUGCUAUGAGCCGAACACGGUGAGGUUGCAUGCAGCUUAUGCGAUGAAUCAGCUGUAUCAGGUGCUGGGGAAGCAUAGUUGGAACUGUGAUUUCCGGGCGACGGCGACGGUGACGACGGAUAAUCCGAGU